rnacentral:snoRNA from 1 species
ACAUGCAUUUGAAUGCAUGUGACACCUGACCUUGUGAUCCUCUCCUGGUGUCCCAUGCCAGUGCAACCUGUAGCCUUGAACUUUUUGCCUGGGCUGUGCCUGUAAGCUGCUCGCAUUGAAGUAGGUUUUACAGUG